rnacentral:lncRNA from 1 species
AUCGUCACGGGCACGCCAGGGAACCGACCCCCGAGUCCGUGGACACAGACUUCUGUGACACCAAGCAAACGGAACCGUGCCGUCAGUUGUCCUUGUUUCCUGAAUUAUGAACGUAUCAACCUUGCGUUUAUGGUUCACGUUUCGAAGAACUGCUACUGGACGGCUGUCACCAUGCCGGCCGUUUGCGCUGUCUACGGCUGAAGGAGCAUCGGCUGCCGAGGCGAUGGUACUACUGUUUCACAACUUCCCACGUGAGAAAAAUAAACAGGCUGCUUAGUGGAUCGCCGGUGUGAAAGGAAGUAAUUUCAAGCCUUCGAAAACCACUGCUCUCUUCUACAAACCAUCGUCAUGACAGCUACCAUCAGAGUUCAUCGCUAAAGCGUAAUGGGAACACCGGCGAAACCUGCUCGACUACGGCCUGGCGUGGUGCCGUCGAUCUUCGUUUCUGAACGGAACGAAUCGCAGGAACCGAGAGCAGCAUUCUCGAAGAGACCAAAACACGAGGAUGACAUUGCAGUAGAGCCAGUACAUCAGGCAGCAGUGGGUCUGGCUUGUGAGUUGGGAGAGGCUGUGGAAACAUCACACAGAGGCAGCGUGUGAAUUGAACCAUGUUGCAGAUAAGUCGGUUCAAGUGCGACUACCAACCAGCCAGAAAGCAUCACAAGCAACUGGAAUGAAAAUUCUGUCAACAAUUGCUACACAAACAGAACCAUAUGCUGUUUCUUCAGGAUCCUUGUCUUUUGCGUCCUUGGAGCAGUCUUCUUCCUUGGAAUGCGUACGAGGCCGACUUCAGUCCUGCCAGCAGUGCACCUAUGUGACCCUGGACAGAUCGACUAUGAGCAGACACCUUCAGAAACAUAUGGGCAAGCCCCCCUUAGAGUGCCACUUGUGUCCAGCUGCAUUCGCUAAGAAGUCCAAGCUGGUGGCUCACGUGUGCACCCACACAGGAGAGCGCCCCUUCUCCUGUAUCCACUGCAAUGCGUCCUUUGUGCAGAAAAACAACCUGGUGAGACACACAUACAUACACA